AGAGUACUCCCUCCGUCCCAAAAUUCUUAUCUUAAAUUUGUCUAGAUACAGAUGUAUCAAGUCACGUUUUAGUAUUAGACACAUCCGUAUGUAGACAAAUCUAAGACAAGAAUUUUGAGACGGAGGGAGUACUUA
rnacentral:pre_miRNA from 1 species